UUUAUAUUUAUCUUUAAUAGAAAUAACUUUAUUUAUAGUAUAAUUUUUAGAAUAAAUUGAUUGAUUUAUAGUUCAUUUAACUGUGAAGGUUAAUAAUUUUAUAAAUAAUAAGUAUAAUUUAUUUUUUGUACCUUUUGUAUCAGGGUUUAUCAAUAUAUUCUAUAUAUAAUAGGUUUCCCGAAAUUAAAAGAGAUAUAAUUAUUUGUUUUUUUAUGUGACAUAAUAAUUUAUAAAAUAAUUAUAGAGGUUAUAUGCUAUUCAUUUUUAAAUAUCUGGUUUUUUAAUAAAUGAAUUUAAUUCAGGAUUAAUUAUUUCUUUAGUAUAAUUUUAUUUAUUAAAUUAUAGUUAAUCUAAUAUUUUAAGGGAUAAGCUUUAAGAAUAUUUUAAUGAUUAAAUAAUUCCAUAAGGAAUUGGUAGGAUUAGAAAUUUCCAUCUUUAUAUUUUGUUAUAAUUAAUUUUUGUAUGGUAUUAAUUUUUUAUGAAUCUUAUUUUUUAUUAAAAAUUAUUGUUUAAUUUUUAAUCAAUAGUUAUAAUGUUAGAAUUAGUAAGUUUUGCAAUUAAUAUAUAGUAACUCGGCAAAAUUAUUCUUCACCUGUUUAUCAAAAACAUGUUCUGGUGUAAUUUUAUAUUAGAUCUAACCUGCUCAAUGAAACGUUGUUUUAAAUGGCCGCGGUAUUUUGACCGUGCGAAGGUAGCAUAAUCAUUUGUCUUUUAAUUGGAGGCUUGUAUGAAUGGUUGGAUGAAGGAGUGGCUUUCUUUAUAUUAUGGAAUUGAAUUUAACUUUUAAGUCAAAAGGCUUAGAUUUUUAAAUGGGACGAGAAGACCCUAUAGAAUUUUAUUUUUAUAUAAUUAAUUUAUUGGUUUGGUUAAUAUUUUAUUUAAUUAUUUUAAAAAUUUUGUUGGGGUGACAGUAAGAUUUAUUUAACUCUUAUAAUUAAUUUUUUUAUUAAUUAGUAUAUAUUAGAUCCUUAAUUUAGGAUAAUUAGAUUAAAUUACCUUAGGGAUAACAGCGUAAUUCUACUGGAGAGUUCUUAUUGAUAGUGGGGUUUGCGACCUCGAUGUUGGAUUAAAAUAAGAUUUGAGUGCAGAAGCUUAAUUUCUAGGUCUGUUCGACCUUUAAUUUUUUACAUGAUCUGAGUUCAGACCGGCGUGAGCCAGGUCGGUUUCUAUCUUUUUUAUUAAUUAUGUAUUUUAGUACGAAAGGACCAUUUACAUUAAAAAUUUUAUUUAUCUUUGAUUAAU
rnacentral:rRNA from 1 species